rnacentral:rRNA from 1 species
GGAAUCUUCCACAAUGGACGAAAGUCUGAUGGAGCAACGCCGCGUGAGUGAUGAAGGUCUUCGGAUUGUAAAGCUCUGUCUUUUGGGACGAUAAUGACGGUACCAAAGGAGGAAGCCACGGCUAACUACGUGCCAGCAGCCGCGGUAAUACGUAGGUGGCGAGCGUUGUCCGGAUUUACUGGGCGUAAAGGGUGCGUAGGCGGAUGUUUAAGUGAGAUGUGAAAUACCCGGGCUUAACUUGGGUGCUGCAUUUCAAACUGGAUAUCUAGAGUGCAGGAGAGGAGAAUGGAAUUCCUAGUGUAGCGGUGAAAUGCGUAGAUAUAUGGAAGAACACCAGUGGCGAAGGCGGCUGUCUGGUCUGUAACUGACGCUGAGGCUCGAAAGCAUGGGUAGCGAACA